GCCUCGUUAUUUCAGCUGGUAGAGCGUGCGCGUACAAAGCGUAGGUGGCUUCCAUGCGUGGGUUCGAAUCCCACCGAGGCU
rnacentral:tRNA from 1 species